rnacentral:tRNA from 1 species
UGGGAUAUAGCUCAACGGUGGAGCGAUAUGACUAUCAAGGGUCUGAAACGUAUGCAGGUUCGAUUCCUGCUAUCCCGU